rnacentral:RNase_P_RNA from 1 species
UGGGCAGGCCAGAUGAUCGCCCCGAGCGAGGCCGCAAGGCCGAGUCGAGGGGAGGAAAGUCCGGACUCCACAGAGCAGCGUGCUGGAUAACGUCCAGUCAGGAUAAUAACCUGAAGGAAAGUGCAACAGAAAAUAUACGGCCGAACUGAUCCCUAAAGGAUCGGUGGCAAAGGUGAAAACGGGAGGUAAGAGCUCCCGACGGUCUGACCGGAGACGGUCGCGUUGUAAACCCCACGUGGAGCAAGACCAAAAAGGGAGAGGGAUAGCUCGUCCGUUAUGAUCCCGAGUAGGUCGCAAUGAGGUCUCAAGCAAUUGGGGCCCCAGACAGAUGAUCGUCCACGACAGAAUCCGGCUUAUCGGCCUGCCCUGUUU